CCUACGGGGGGCUGCAGUGGGGAAUAUUGCACAAUGGGCGCAAGCCUGAUGCAGCCAUGCCGCGUGUGUGAAGAAGGCCUUCGGGUUGUAAAGCACUUUCAGCGGGGAGGAAGGCGUUAAGGUUAAUAACCUUGGCGAUUGACGUUACCCGCAGAAGAAGCACCGGCUAACUCCGUGGCCAGCAGCCGCGGUAAUACGGAGGGUGCAAGCGUUAAUCGGAAUUACUGGGCGUAAAGCGCACGCAGGCGGUCUGUCAAGUCGGAUGUGAAAUCCCCGGGCUCAACCUGGGAACUGCAUUCGAAACUGGCAGGCUAGAGUCUUGUAGAGGGGGGUAGAAUGCCAGGUGUAGCGGUGAAAUGCGUAGAGAUCUGGAGGAAUACCGGUGGCGAAGGCGGCCCCCUGGACAAAGACUGACGCUCAGGUGCGAAAGCGUGGGGAGCAAACAGGAUUAGAUACCCCAGGAGUC
rnacentral:rRNA from 1 species